rnacentral:rRNA from 1 species
CCUACGGGAGACAGCAGUGAGGAAUAUUGGACAAUGGCCGAAAGGCUGAACCAGCCAAGCCGCGUGAGGGAAGAAGGAUCUAGUGAUUGUAAACUUCUUUUAUAGGGGAGUAAAGGUCUCUACGUGAGGAUAUUUGCAUGUCUCCUAUGAAUCCGCAUAGGCUAACUCUGUGCCAGCAGCCGCGGUAAUACGGAGGGUGCGAGCGUUAUCCGGAUUUAUUGGGUUUAAAGGGUGCGUAGGUUGUAUUGUAAGUCCGCGGUGAAAGGUUGUGGCUCAACCCUAAAAUUGCCGUUGAAACUGGAAGGCUUGAGUGUGGGUGAGGUAGGCGGAAUUCGUAGUGUAGCGGUGAAAUGCAUAGAUAUCACGAAGAACACCAAUUGCGAAGGCAGCUUACUAAGCCAUAACUGACACUGAAGCACGAAAGCGUGGGGAGCAAACAGGAUUAGAUACCCCUGUAGUC